UACGAGUGCUCCAAGCGUUAUCCGGAAUUAUUGGGCGUAAAGGGUGUGUAGGUUGUUCUGUUAGUCAGGUGUUAAAGCUUCCCGCUUAACGGGAAAAAAGCAUUUGAAACGGCAGAACUAGAGGAUGCGAGAGGUGAACAGAACUCAUGGUGUAGGGGUGAAAUCCGUUGAUAUCAUGGGGAAUACCAAAUGCGAAGGCAGUUCACUGGCGCACUCCAGACACUGAAACACGAAAGCGUGGGUAGCGAACGGG
rnacentral:rRNA from 1 species